GACGAACGCUGGCGGCGUGCUUAACACAUGCAAGUCGAACGGAGAAUUUUAUUUCGGUAGAAUUCUUAGUGGCGAACGGGUGAGUAACGCGUAGACAACCUGCCUCUUAGAUGGGGACAACAUCGCGAAAGCGGUGCUAAUACCGAAUGAAGUGGAGCUUCCGCAUGGAAGCAUCACCAAAGGUGGCCUCUAUUUAUAAGCUACCACUGAGAGAUGGGUCUGCGUCUGAUUAGCUAGUUGGCGGGGUAAUGGCCCACCAAGGCGACGAUCAGGAGCCGGUCUGAGAGGGUGAACGGCCAGAUUGUGACUGAGGCACGGCCCAAACUCCUACGGGAGGCAGCAGUGGGGAAUCUUCCGCAAUGGACGAAAGUCUGACGGAGCAACGCCGCGUGAGUGAAGAAGGUUUUCGGAUCGUAAAGCUCUGUUGUUUGAGACGAAUGUGCAGACUUUGAAUAAGGGUUUGUAAUGACGGUAUUAAACGAGAAAGCCACGGCUAACUACGUGCCAGCAGCCGCCGUAA
rnacentral:rRNA from 1 species